rnacentral:misc_RNA from 1 species
GAAAUGCGAUAAGUAAUGUGAAUUGCAGAAUUCAGUGAAUCAUCGAAUCUUUGAACGCACCUUGCGCUCCUUGGUAUUCCGAGGAGCAUGCCUGUUUGAGUGUCAUGGAAUUCUCAACUCUAUUUGCUUUUGUGAAUAGAGCUUGGAUUUGGAGGUUUAUUGCUGGUACUUGUGUUCGGCUCCUCUUGAAUGCAUUAGCUCGAACCUUUGCGGAUCAGCUAUCGGUGUGAUAAUUGUCUACGCCGUUGCAGUGAAGCAUAUCAAUGGGCUCGGCUUCCAAUCGUCCUUUACUGGACAAUGACUUUGACCUUUGACCUCAAAUCAGGUAGGAUUACCCGCUGAACUUAAGC